AGUGGCGGACGGGUGAGUAACGCGUGGGUAACCUGCCUCACACUGGGGGACAACAGUUAGAAAUGACUGCUAAUACCGCAUAAGCGCACAGGACCGCAUGGUCCGGUGUGAAAAACUCCGGUGGUGUGAGAUGGACCCGCGUUUGAUUAGGUAGUUGGUGAGGUAACGGCCCACCAAGCCGACGAUCGGUAGUCGACCUGAGAGGGUGACCGGCCACAUUGGGACUGAGACACGGCCCAG
rnacentral:rRNA from 1 species